AGAGUUUGAUCCUGGCUCAGAUUGAACGCUGGCGGCAUGCCUAACACAUGCAAGUCGAACGGCAGCACAGCAGUAGCAAUACUGUGGGUGGCGAGUGGCGGACGGGUGAGUAAUGCAUCGGGACCUACCUGAACGUGGGGGAUAACGUAGGGAAACUUACGCUAAUACCGCAUACGUCCUACGGGAGAAAGCGGGGGACCUUCGGGCCUCGCGCGGUCAGACGGACCGAUGUUCGAUUAGCUAGUUGGUAAGGUAAUGGCUUACCAAGGCGACGAUCGAUAGCUGGUCUGAGAGGAUGAUCAGCCACACUGGAACUGAGACACGGUCCAGACUCCUACGGGAGGCAGCAGUGGGGAAUAUUGGACAAUGGGCGCAAGCCUGAUCCAGCAAUGCCGCGUGUGUGAAGAAGGCCUUCGGGUUGUAAAGCACUUUUAUCGGGAACGAAAUACCACGGGUUAAUAACCUGUGGGGCUGACGGUACCCGAGGAAUAAGCACCGGCUAACUUCGUGCCAGCAGCCGCGGUAAUACGAAGGGUGCAAGCGUUAAUCGGAAUUACUGGGCGUAAAGGGUGCGUAGGCGGUUUGUUAAGUCUGUUGUGAAAUCCCCGGGGCUCAACCUGGGAAUGGCAAUGGAUACUGGCAAGCUAGAGUGUGUCAGAGGAUGGUGGAAUUUUCCGGUGUAGCGGUGAAAAUGCGUAGAGAUCGGGA
rnacentral:rRNA from 1 species